UCCCUUACCUGGCACGGGAUCCCCGUGAUAACAAAGGCGGUUUUCCCGGGGCGAAAAUCACCUUGCCCCCGGUGGUGUUGACCCCUGCGAUUAACCCAAAUGGGGUUUAAAAUCGAGGCGAAAAUUUUUGUUUGGGAAAGGGGACUGCGUUCGCGCUUCCCCUUA